CCUACGGGAGGCAGCAGUGGGGAAUCUUGCGCAAUGGGCGAAAGCCUGACGCAGCCAUGCCGCGUGAAUGAUGAAGGUCUUAGAAUUGUAAAAUUCUUUCACCGGGGACGAUAAUGACGGUACCCGGAGAAGAAGCCCCGGCUAACUUCGUGCCAGCAGCCGCGGUAAUACGAAGGGGGCUAGCGUUGCUCGGAAUUACUGGGCGUAAAGGGAGCGUAGGCGGAUAGUUUAGUCAGAGGUGAAAGCCCAGGGCUCAACCUUGGAAUUGCCUUUGAUACUGGCUAUCUUGAGUAUGGGAGAGGUAUGCGGAACUCCGAGUGUAGAGGUGAAAUUCGUAGAUAUUCGGAAGAACACCAGUGGCGAAGGCGGCAUACUGGCCCAUUACUGACGCUGAGGCUCGAAAGCGUGGGGAGCAAACAGGAUUAGAUACCCUGGUAGUCCACGCUGUAAACGAUGAGUGCUAGUUGUCGGCAUGCAUGCAUGUCGGUGACGCAGCUAACGCAUUAAGCACUCCGCCUGGGGAGUACGGUCGCAAGAUUAAAACUCAAAGGAAUUGACGG
rnacentral:rRNA from 1 species